GGAGAAUCUGAGACUUCUGAAGAGUUUCUUGCUUCUUUCCUGUGGGGCAGUGACUCCACUUCCCAGCAGUAAUGGAAUAUCCUGAAUUAGCUACAUUAAUGUUAGAACCAUUUGGACCUCACCCAGGACUUCAACUACAUUGUGCUAAAGUUACAGAAUCCAAAUUUGGCAACUGCCUGCAUCUGAACAACAGAAGUUUCAACAUUCUGCCAACAGAGUAACUCCUGGACGACUGGCACAGAAGAAGGCACAAGGCAAAUACCCAUCUCUGUACACCCUGUGCUACUGUGUCAUGUGCUGCUCCAGGCAACUCCAAUGGAUUGGCCACCCUGGCCAAUGUGUUCUAGUAUGUUAGGUUUAUGUUCCCCUGCUUUCUACAAUCCUGUUCAAAGAGUUGCUGACUUAACCACAGAGAGAAUUCCAGAACAUGAGACACAGAAUAAACUUGAACAAUCAUAGUCCAUCCACUUCAUUUUCUCAUCGAAAACCAAAGGUCCAGUGAGGCUCUGGAACUCGACGCUGUAAAGGAGCGAAGGAGCAUCUAUACAGAACCUGGAUGCCUGUCUCCUUAUCCUACUUCAGCGGACUUGACUGCAAUCCGGAUUAUGCUGUUUUCUAAGCAUUUAAAAUAAAAUAAAAAGUGUAA
rnacentral:antisense_RNA from 1 species